GACGAACGCUGGCGGCGUGCUUAACACAUGCAAGUCGAACGGAAAGGCCCUGCUUUUGUGGGGUGCUCGAGUGGCGAACGGGUGAGUAACACGUGAGUAACCUGCCCUUGACUUUGGGAUAACUUCAGGAAACUGGGGCUAAUACCGGAUAGGAGCUCCUGCUGCAUGGUGGGGGUUGGAAAGUUUCGGCGGUUGGGGAUGGACUCGCGGCUUAUCAGCUUGUUGGUGGGGUAGUGGCUUACCAAGGCUUUGAAGGGUAGCCGGCCUGAGAGGGUGACCGGCCACAUUGGGACUGAGAUACGGCCCAGACUCCUACGGGAGGCAGCAGUGGGGAAUAUUGCACAAUGGGCGGAAGCCUGAUGCAGCAACGCCGCGUGCGGGAUGACGGCCUUCGGGGUGUAAACCGCUUUCGCCUGUGACGAAGCGUGAGUGACGGUAAUGGGUAAAGAAGCACCGGCUAACUACGUG
rnacentral:rRNA from 1 species